CCCAUUUCGUAGGAGCGGUAACAAGCAUCGCUCUACACCAAGAUCAGAAAUUUUAACUUUUCUGUUGACUUACUUUUCUCCUUCCAAUUUUAUUUCUCCUCCUUCGAGAUAUUUAUUUAACCGUGUUUUUAAAGGUAAUAACUACAGCUGUUUAUACUUGUAUACAUGUUUGCGAUGUAGCUUAUCAACUUACACGAGGAGCAAUUUCCAUCCCAUGCACUUUAAUGAUAUAUUGCCGAAUUAGAUCUCUUUCAGUUUCAUGAUGUUAAGCCACAUAUCAGUUUGGUAAUUGUCGAGUUGCAUGCUCGCCCCAAUACGACGUGUCGAAGCUAUGCUUGUAGACAAUGUGUUGUAUGUAUCCGCCAUGCAAGCUACAAGACUGUUCGAAUCGGAGCCAUUGGGAAUGCUUGCGAUAUAGCUGUCCGUACCAACUUAUUUUGUUGAACAGAGGUCUCAUUUUACAACCAUAUAGCUAAAUAUACUUAAUGGGUUUGGUCAUUGCUGAAGGUCGUACAUUUUCCGACAGUUUACACAAGUCAUUUGGUUUCUGCAUGGUGAAUAGUUAUCUAAUGGUAAUCAUACCACAUCUCCUUAUUUUUAUUCAGAGUAUGGCCGUAUGUUUCGCUGUAGGCAGUUACUAUCAGAAUCUCUCUACAUGCUGUUCCCGUCAACUCUGGUGGAUAUUUAAAGGUCUCAAUUUGCAAUCAUGACUUACUAAGCUGUAUGGUUUUUGUCAUUGCUGAAGGUCGUACUUUUCCUGGAGUUGUUCACAUUCAAGGCCUUGAUUAUUUUGUGAUUCAAUGGUUCUCAUUGACAACUACAUAUCUCCUUAUUUGUAUACCAAGUAUAACGGUAAUUUUCCUGUAAGUGGUUACCUCGUGUUUUCAAGGUAAAAACAAGACUGAUGUUCCGGUGUUAAUAUACAAAUCCCUGGACGUUAACAGUCAUCAAUCAAUCAAUCAAUCAUCCAACCAACUACUAUAUCAAUCAACCAAUCAAUCAACUACUCUAUUAAUCAAUUCACAUACAUAAUUUCUACAUUUAAUAAAUUCCUUUUCUAAUUUAAAUCAGUUGCUUCAUAAAUGAUGAGAAAAAAAAGGAAUUAAAGAUUGAAC
rnacentral:lncRNA from 1 species